CAUUUAUCAUGAGCCUGAACGUGCCAGCUGAUGGUCUUGCUGUAGGGGAAUCUAACAAUACCCAUGAUUAAAUCACACACAUCAAAUUAUUCACAAGAUGCUAGCAGGGACCAGGUUCAAGGACAUUGCAGUGUAACAUGUGUAGGAUCUACUGAACAUCGGCGGGUCCUCUGCAGUGCAUUCCUGUGAGAAUGGAUGGUCAUGCCUUCUCCGAGAAGUCCUGACGCAGACUGAGACUGGUCCGCAGAGCAAUGCCGCGACAGACUGCCCUUCAGAUGCAGUAAAAGUCAGACCUUUGUUCAGCUGCAGAGAAAGGAGUAGCUUAUAGAGCAAAACAUACGUAUGAAGAGAACCUUGCGUUCUGCAAUGUGGCACCUGGCAUUCCAUGUGGAUGGGAAACAGCGGGCAGAGCUGCGCUUUAACAUUCACAAGGCAGGAUCCCCAGCUCCACCCAGCUUUGUAUUUCUUGUGAUAUUUCUUUUUUUAAAGGGAGAUGAAGUGUCGGUAGAGAAGAUGCUUAGACCACAAGUGAGUUAGUGUGCUAAGAAUUUGGUCUUUGACAUUUUCAUUUCUAAAAUGCCAUCAUGACUCAAUAUAUCCCUUCCCUAAAACCUGCAAUAAACUUCAAGUUCCUUUGACAGUGGGUCUAGAUGGCUCGAAAGGCUUACCUUAGUCAAGUCUUGGGUGGCCACACAGAUGUCAUCGGAGGAGCAGUUACACAGUCACUUCAGAAAACCCUCAAUCCAUUUUUAGCUGACUUUGGGAUAUAGUAUACUUUGGCAGAAAUAAAUUUACAUUUUCCCAAUAUU